rnacentral:rRNA from 1 species
AUGAUCCCGGAGGGCGCGGCGGAGCUGGUGUCCCUGCUGGCACCCCUGCUCGUCGUCGUGGGCGUGGCCGCGGUGAUCGCGUCGGCGUCGGCGGGCGGGGGCGCGCGCGAGGCGGAGGCGCAGGUGGAGGCUCAGGCGAGGGAGUGGGCGCGGUUCGUGUUCGGCUCCUCGGAGGACGCGGAGCUCGUCGAUGGUGCCGGCGGCCGGGCCGACCCCCGGUGGCGCGUGGACGGGCUGGGCUAG